CGCGUAGGCGGUUCGGUAAGUGGGAUGUGAAAGCCCCGGGCUCAACCUGGGAAUUGCAUUCCAAACUGCCGAACUAGAGUAUGGUAGAGGGAGGUAGAAUUUCCUGUGUAGCGGUGAAAUGCGUAGAUAUAGGAAGGAAUACCAGUGGCGAAGGCGGCCUCCUGGACCAAUACUGACGCUGAGGUGCGAAAGCGUGGGGAGCAAACA
rnacentral:rRNA from 1 species